UAGCUUUGUCAUAAGUCAAACUUCUUAAAGUUUAACCAAUUUUAUAGAAAAAUAUGACAUCUAGAAUAUCAAAUAAGUAUACUAUAAAAAUAUGUAUCUUGAUGGAUUUAAUAAAACUAAUUUAGAGUCAUAGAUGUUUGUAGUUUUUCUAUAAACUUGGUCAAAGUUUAAGAAGUUUGACUUAGGACAAAGCUAG
rnacentral:pre_miRNA from 1 species